rnacentral:rRNA from 1 species
UACGGAGGGUGCAAGCGUUAUCCGGAUUCACUGGGUUUAAAGGGUGUGUAGGCGGGUAUUUAAGUCAGUGGUGAAAUCUCCGGGCUCAACCCGGAAACUGCCAUUGAUACUAUUUAUCUUGAAUAUCGUUGAGGUUGGCGGAAUAUAUCAUGUAGCGGUGAAAUGCAUAGAUAUGAUAUAGAACACCGAUUGCGAAGGCAGCUAACUAAGCGAUUAUUGACGCUGAGGCACGAAAGCGUGGGGAUCAAACAGG